AAGUGAGGUUCCAGUUCCUGAGAACACAGCUGUCUCAGGACGGGAAAUUUUCAGCCACAUUUGGAGGCGAUGAGAUUACCCAUACAGAAGUGAGAAUUUCCUGGAGCAAAGCUUACCGGGGAAGAACCAGAACCACUCUCAGCUGACUUGUCUUUGGCAAAAUGGUAGUGAGAUGUCCUCCCAGACAAGUGGAAGACUGUUCCCAGACCAGGAGCUUUGGGUGUCAUGCCUAAGUCAUUAACACCAAGAUUAUACCUGACCCUGCCAAGGUCUGUAAAUCACGCCGAGGCUGACUUAUCCGCCGUGGGAGGCAGCCAGAAUUGCUGCAUUUAGAAAGCCUGCUGGCUAGGCAGUGCCCAGCAAAUCCCUCUGCUCGACAGCAGGGAAGGCAGGGCUGUGUCCCAUGGGCCGCGGUGCAAGGCGGCGGUAGGAGGGGCUGUGGCAUCCCUUGGCGUGCGGCCAGCAGCCCCUGCCGGCACCUCCGCCUGAAGUUUGCCCACAGCACAAGCGAUUGCUGAGAUCCAUCACAUGUAGACUUAAGAGUUCAAAGGAUACCCGUGGGGGAGAGCUUCUUGGGAGGCGGGGCACCGUGUGCCAGCUGCCAGUGGCAAAGGUUGAAGUUCCGAUGGGGAAAUUUUUGUUCAGCACAUGAGAUAAUUUUCUGUGAUAAGUUAUGCUUAGGUCGGCUCAGCGAGAACAUCCUGCUAUUGACGGGAGUUGUGUGGCAAGCAAAUUUCCUGGGCGUCUGCUUUUUUUAUAUAUAUUUUUUUAUUUAUUUUUUUUUAAACUGUGGAUCUAUGUACAGCUAUUGACUUUUACAGCUUUGCAAAUUGAUAUGCAAGAGGUGCACAGGACGAGGUGAUAAAAAGUUGAAACCUGGCGACGGAGAGGAUGUUCAUGUCUGACCAUGAUAUGAACGCAGGAUGUCCCAGGGGGCUGGCUCAGGGAAGCACAGAGCACAGGGUGAUGAAUGAAGCCUCCAAAGCUUGACCCCUAAAAAGAAUAGCAAGAAAUACAUUAUUUGACAUUUUAAGUGGACUGACAGAUUUCUGCAAUGAGGUGACCUGCUCAGUGGAUGAAGACAGAGCAGUGGACACUGCUUUAUCCUGGAACAUUUCAAGGUAAUAAAGGCAUUUGACAUUAUUUCCUUUAAGAACCCUCAUAAAUAAGCUGUCAAUAUAUACUUUAGGCAAAAGGACAGGAAGGUGGACUGAAAACUGUCUGAGUGACCAGAUGCAGAGUGCUGUGGUCAAUGGCAGUUGAGGACAAGUCCCUAGCAGUGCACACAAGGGCUCAGUGUUUGGUGCCGGAGCGCCCCGUAACCUCUUCAUUAAUGAUUGGGAUGACGGGGCAGAAUGCAACUUUGCAGAUGAGACAAAGUUGGGAGGAGAGGCAGGUACCACAGAAGGUUGUGUGGCCACCCAGAGGGACCCUGACAGGCUGGAGAAAUGGACAGGUAAGGAUCUCAUGUACUUCAAUAAAAAUAAAAAACAAAGUGUUGUAACUAGGGAGGAUCAACCCCAAGCACCAGUACAGGCUGGGAGCUGAUCAGCUGGAUCACCCUGGAGGUUCUAAUGGGCCUGGAGGUUCUGAUGCAUGAGCAGAGAAGGGCCUGGAGGUUCUGAUAUAUGAGCAGCUGAUUACCAGCCAGUGAUGUGAUCUUCAUUGCAGCAACUGGCCCUUGCCGCAAAGAUGGUCAGUCAGCGGCACCUUGGGCAGCAUGAUGAGGAGAGUUGCCAGCAGGUCAAGGACAGUGGUCCUUGCCCUCUGCUCAGCACUGGUGAGGCCACAGCUGGAGUUCUGGGUCCAGCUCUGGGCUCCCCAGUACAGGAAAGAUACAAAUGUACUGCAGGGAGGUCCGGCUAAUGGCCCUAAAGAUCACUAAUGCAUCUGAGUUUCUGAGGUGGGAGGAGAGGCUCAGAGAGCUCAGUCUGGUGAAGAGAAAGGGCAUCUUACAUAUGUAUGUCAAUACCUGAUGUGAAGGAAUAAAGAUGAGACAGACAGGCCUCUUCAGUGAUUCUCAGUGCCAGCACAAGAGGCAGCUGACACAAAUUAAAUCACAAAGAAUUCCUGAAAACAAAAAAAAAAAAAAACCAACAUUUUUUACAGUGAUGGCAGUCAAAUACUGGCACAUGUUGCCCAGAAAGGUUGUGGAGUCUCCCUCCUUGAAAAUAUUUAAAAGCCAUCUGGACAGGGCCUUGGGCAAUCUGGUGUAGGUGUCCCUGCUAGAGCAAGGGGGUUGGACAAGGUGACCUCCAGAGGUCCUUUCCAGCAUCAGCCUUUCUGUGAUUCUGUGAGUAAUUCAGAUACUGCACAGAGCACAUUCUUCCUACUGCUCAAUGAGAAAACAGCAAAUGGCUCCACUGCAAUUCCAUUUUCUGACUUUGAUGAACGGAAAUAUGUUACGCAUCAUUAACAACAUGCCAGCAUAUUAAAACCAUAUUAUGCUUGUAAAAUAAAGAGCAUUUUUUUCAUCCAUUGCCAUCAAAUUUAUUUCUGAGUUAAUCUGAAGAAUAAAUAAGUCCACAUGGAUCUCCCAGUUAGUGCUGCCAAGUAUGUAUAUUCUUUAGUUUGAAAUGAAAAUGCUUCUUUUCAAAGUUUGGGAUGGAACACAUGCACUCCCGUGUUUCAAAUUAAAACAAAUUAGAUGAUUUUCAAUUGGAAAACUAUGUCAAAGUGAAGGAGAUGGCAGUAUUGCAGAUUGGCCAUUCUCCCUUAAAAUGGCUCAUCAGUCCAGGCCAAAAGUGCAGUAAAACCAGAGAAACAUCUGUCCUUGGUCUGGUUGACGUGAAUAUGCAGGAGGCAUAUUGUAUUUUUGGACAGAACUGGUGGCUGCCUGCAAGUGUGAAAUCUGGACAAUCCCAGACCACACUGAAGUGGAAGGGCAUGCUGAUCGUCUUUCUUUUAGAUGAAAUGAAAGAGGAAUUAAAGCCUCAUUUAUUUGGUGGUAAUUGAAACAAGCCAAGACACCGCCCAAGGUGCAACACAAUAUAGGAAGGCUGGAUUGGAAGCUCAGCCAUGUGGCUAGAGGGAUUUCACUGGAAAUUGGUUGCAAAACCAGGAAACGGGGCAUUGAUUUGGUUGAAGCUUUGCAUUAGCUUGUGGGUGGAAAGAAGCACAAACCAAGCAGGCAACCAGACAGGCAGAAUAUGUGUGUGGCCCCAGAAAGGUAGCCAAGAACAAAUGACUUUUUUUUCUUUCCAACCAUGAAAAGCCCAGAAAAAGAUCUCAGAGACAGGAAGACAGCUUCUAACUAUCUUGUGCUUCUGUGUUUCAGUGGAAAAAAAAAUAAUUCUAUUUUAACAAACAGAUUUUCCCCAACUUGUAAAAACAAUGUCGACUUGAAGCAACCCUUGAACUCUGUGAACUUUGGCUUCCUGCAAGGAGCAGCCUUAUCUAACUGCAACACCAUAUAACCUACAGCACUUAAAUCAGUCUUCCAUAAAGCAGGCUAGAGUCCCAUCCCGCUGUCAAUUAGAACUCCUCUCACAAAACAGACUGAAAAAGAUGUGUAUUGCAGCCUUGGAGCAAUACAGCUUCUCCCACAAAGUUAUGAAACCUUUCUUCCUUUAGGGAUAAACAGUAAAGCAACAACUAAUUUGUAUGAAUAACCCUUUCAGCUGCUUAAAUACUUCCAGUCUGACAAAUUUUAUAGCUGUUCUGAUUUCUCUGAAUCUUCCACACCUAUUAUUUUAGUGAAAACAGUGGAUCAUGCCAUGCUUCACAUUUCCUACUGUGCUUUUUUGAAGAUUUGUGAUUUUAUAUCUUCUUCAAAAUGGUAAAAUAUUAGCCAGCUGUCCUGUAGAUGGUUCUCCAGGUAAGGCUUUUUGUCUGAUGGUCUGUGGCAUGGAAAAAUAUUCACUUGCUGACAAAGCUGUUCAGUCUGCUUAUGGCUCUUGUUGAACUGAGAAUUUGCAGAAAUGCGUAAUGGUGCAUGGACUCUGAUUUUUUCUGUGCCAACUCCAUCUCUAAAUGCAAUGCCAUUUGUGUAUAGAGCUAUCCAGAUGUGUGUCACAGCUUGAUUUCCUGAGGCUGUCUAGGGAAAUGCUUCAAGAGAAGCACUGCUCUCUACCCCAGUGACAUGAAAGAUCCCUUCAGGAUGCUAUACAAUACCAGAGCAGCAAAGCUUCAUUACAUUUGCUUUUAAUGUGUCCCUUUUCAGUUCGUUGAAAAUCCAUCCUUUCUUCUGAACAUGUUCAUGAAGCUCACAUAAAAUGCUUUUUGUCAUGUCUGACUAAACCUUUUUUAAUUUGAUGGUGGAAAUUAUGCUUCUGUACUCUUAGCUGGCUGUUUGUAAUUUGGUCUUUUUCACUGAUACAACAAAAAUAGCUCCAAUCUGAAGGUGAAAAUUCUAGCCUGCAUUUCUGUGCCAACUCUCACAGAAGAAGUCUAGCAACGCAGAGGGAUACAAACAUAUGCCUUAAUCCUCUGAAUGAACAGGUGCCUCAUAGUUAAAGACAGAUGAAUGCUUAUUUGGAAUAUUAUUUGGCAUAUCCACUAUAGGUCACUGCCUUUUACCACCCCAUUGCAAUGCUAGGCACUCAUACCCAAAGCACAGCAUGGCAGCUCCCCCAUUUUUGUCUUCUUGUGCACUGGUUUUUGCCAAGGGCUGAGUUGGGAAGGGUACAUAGCUCUUGGAAGUGGGAGGUAAACUUUGACGUGUAGGGAGAGGGGAGGAGAGGUAGAAGGAUUCAGAUCAUCAGGAGUUUGGGAUGAGCCUACAGACUGAAAUAUUAAAAACAUUUGCAAGCUGCAGAUUCCCUUGGUUUAUUUUUUUCUUCUCCUUUGCUUUUCUUUCUCCCUUUCUUUGUUUUUCUUGACAAUAUGCAGUAGAAGUGGCUUAUAACUGCACUUUGCUGUAGCUGGGAAUCAGAGUUAGUUCCACGGAAGAUUUGUGGGGCUUGCCCUGCUCUGCCAAGUCUGUGCUCUCCCUCUCGCAGUUCCUGGCCACAUCUCCUGCUGGGUGGCCCUCGAAGGACAGCCUCCAGCCAGAUGAGCACUCAAUCUGCUGACACAGGUGGGCUAGGAUGGAUGUGGAGGGCCAGAUCCAGCUGUAGGUAAGGCUGGGCUUGUUUUGAUCUGAGCUGCCAGAAGCCUAGAAGACAUUGAGCAGAGCAUGCUUGUGUAGCUGCCUUUUCACUGUUUUCUUUUAAAGCUUUAGCUUUUAUAGUUGUAAAAAUAAAGAUGACAAGCGAACUGAAAACAUUCUGGUGAUCAGAAAAUUUGUAAAGGUGCUUCCUGAAAGCCUUUAUAUUAUGGCUAUGUCAUUCAUCAAUGACACUUACUGUGACAGUUGUUAUUAAAACCAUUUUGAUUAUUGUAUGUGAUUUAGCAGCAUGGAUCAUGGAUUGAUUGCAAAAGAGCCAUUGCACAUACUUAAGAUUCAUAAUCUGCAGGGCAUGUUAUAUGCAAAAAUAAAAAAUGCUUCAAGCAAGACUGUCUAAUGAACUUACAUGUGUUUUUAGACCAUACUAUUAUCCCUCAUUAGACCAUGGAUUUAAAAUUCUGGAGAGGAAGGGUUAAACUUCCUGACAGCUGCAAAAGUUAUCACAAGACAAGUGGUACAUAUAUCAUUAAAAAAAUCCAGAAAAUCAGUUCAGCCCUUUCACAGUAGUGACUGAAGGAGAGAAGAUGGUAAUUCCUUAGUGUGAUAACGUUUGUCUUGGGAGAGUAUCAACAUGAAAUCUGUUUUUAAUCUUGUUUUCAAUUUUAACUAAAAGGAUCAAAACUAAUGAUUAAAAUAGGACCUCAAAUAACUUCUUACUUAUUACAGUAAAAAAAAAUAAGAUUAUUAACAUUCAUGAGGGCCCUACUUAGAAAACAAAAUACUUUAAAUGAGCUGAAAGAUGAAACAGCUCCUGCAAACAAUAGGUAAUACAUAAAGAAAUACAGAAUAGCAUCAAUUAGACUCAAUAACUACAAAUAUGUUGACAUAUUUAACUGCUUUUAUACAAUUUAUUAACUCCACACUCUGAAAUCAAAUGCAAACAACUGCAAAAGCAGCAGAAUGGAUAUGUCUAAGUUCAGUAAUUCUUUAACACUUGUAGCAUCAUUCUUAAUCAUAUGAGUGGAGGAAAAUAGCUUUUCAUAACUGAGGGCCUUAUUUUUCAAGUGUUGCUGUAAAGACAAUGAAGCGGUAAGCAAAGGAUACAGCUUGCCCACUUCGGAGUCUCGGCCCAACAGAAGACAGCAAUUAGUUUUAAUUAUGACUUCUAGCAUGGGUAUUAAUGUAGAGACUAGGCAUAAAAAAAUGCCCAACUACACAGCCAAACCCUAUCUGUAAAUAGUGUGGGAUUUAUGGGUGAGACUGAAUGAUUAUUUCUUGCGGUCAUCACUCCAGUGAGGCAACUGAAAAGAGCAGAUAAAGAGCAGGGAGCUUGUAUUCUGGGAUAUUAGCAGUGCAGGAAGCGUCAUAUGUUUUCUGACUUCCAAGUGUUACCUGUAUGCAGACUAGAGAAUAUAUAAAAUCCUUAAAGAGUAAAAAUGAAUAUACAUCUCCAUGUAGGUAUUAUUUUAGUGAAAGCCAUAACUUUUUCUAUGAUAAUUUAUGGCAUUCAGUCCCACUACACCAUUACUUACACACGUAAUCUAGCAGGCUGUCUUACUUGCAGUGGUUAAGACUUUUGUCAGUCUGUUAUUCACAAAUGAAUUUAUAUUCUAAGAAAACCAUUCCAAACUGCUUGCAGCCACACCUGCCAUCCCACUCAUAUAUGCCAUAUGCCAGAGUCAUGGGUAGUGUAAAGGGGUGUGUGGCACUGGUUUUGGUGGAGACCCCAUGAUCUGUCCUGGCAUGGAGCAGAGCCCGACACCUGUGCAGGAAACUAGAGAGCCAUUGAAAACUGUGAUCAGCAGUUUGGGAAGAGGAUCAGUUAUGUGGUUGAUGUGUCACCAUUUCUCUGAUAAGCCUGUGACUGUGCCACUUCAGAGGUUGUAUUGUGCCUUCAAAGUUAAUAUUUGAGUCAAACUUGUCAGUUCACAUUUACUCUGUUACCUUUUAUCUUGAUAACAGAAACAUGCACAUUUUUGUGCUGUUUAUGAAACUUUUUUAAUAUGUUUUACAUUCUUUUGAUAACAUUAUGGGCGAUUUUAAUCCUCAAGCACCUUGCUCAGUAAAGCAUUUAAAAGAAUGAAAUUACUUUUAUAUACAACCAUUAAGUGCUCCCCUCUAUUAGAGCAUUGUGGACUAGAUUUCAUGCCUACAAUAAAGCUAAUAAAGCAGGUUAUUUGAACAGGAUUUGAGAUUUUAAUUCAGAUUUAUAAUAAACAGAAGGAAAAUGGUUAAUAUGUACCGAGUACCAAAGGUUAUUGUGAUGAAAGAUAAAGACUAAGAGAGAAUUCAAGCAGCUGAGGCACUUUCCUCAUUGAAGAUGAAUUUGUGAUGCUAAAUGCAUUGAAGAUGCAUUUGUGACUGGACUCAUGCAGUCUAAACAGGAUAAUUUUUUCGAAGUCUUACACAGAAACUUUCCAUUUAUAUUGCAUUAAAUCAUUCUACAUCAAUAUCAGAGAUUUUUAAGAAUUGCAUGAUUUUUCUGUCCAUUAUCCUUUUUAAAGUAAGUCACAACACAGAGAGAAAAUCCUAUGGCAUAACUUUACCAUGAAGUAAGAAGGAUGGUGCAGUAAAAGUAAGUAGAAUUUCAACUCUCCAACAUAUUUUGUUGUUGCAGAAAUGUUUUUUUUUUUUUCUGGAAAAAUGAAAGUAGUAAUGAAUGAAAUGCAAAAUGGAAAAAAAAUCUUUCAGUUUAUUAACAGGGGAGAAACAUCUCAGAAUUAAAGAUUUGACAGCAUAGACUCAAUAUUCUUUCUUUCUUUCAGAAUCUAUAAUUAAAACUGUGGAUUUAUAACCUCAGUCCUACAAACAUAUCUCUAGAAAAUGCUAUCAAAAGACAAUGCAAUAAACUAGGAUAAUUUAUUAUCCAUUUUUAUCUGUCCCUCAGUUUAACUGUACUUUGGUGUAGAAAAUGUUACCAUUUCAGAAUUAAAAUAGUGCCACAGAACUAUAGAUAUAAUCUGUUUUAUCUUGCUUCUAGGCAGAAAACCAUCAGCAAUUGCUCCUAAAGUAUUUCAAAUUUUGUUCCAGUUGCUGACUGGCUGAUGCGGCCGAUGCAGACACCGAUGGCCGAGUUCAGACUUGAGAGAGGUGAAUAUUGUGCUAUCAGACUCAAAUGCAAUUUCCCUCACCGUACUCCAGACCCAAACUAGGUCUCAGUAAAUAAUUAAUCCUGUGGGAAACUCUAAAACUUCCAGGAUGUGAGACAUGGGUUUGGAUGUCUCCAGUUUCCUUUGAACAAUAAUCCUUCAGGAUUUAAGAGUAGCGGGAACUGUUUGGCACGACCAAAUGCAUCCUGCAGGCUGCAGAUCAUCUCCCAUAUGGGUGUAAUAGGAGGGGCCAUUUCUCAAUUUCCACAUUGGUAUUUAGGACAUAGAGAGAUAAGGAAUGUUCCCAAACAGUGCAUGCUUCCAGUAAAAUGGAAAACUUUAUCCUCUCCGGUUAUUAAGCAAACAGCACAUCUGAGUAACUCUUACCAGGAUGAUGAUGACUCUGGUGGUUGGUUCUUAUCUUUCUUUUUUUCCUGAAUAGAAAUAGGGCUAUUCUCACUAGUCUUGAUUAAUUAAACCAUGUAAAAAUGAUAAGAAAAUAGCGUUUGUUAAGAAAGAAAAGUGAAUUGAUAAAGUUCAUACAUCUGAAUCCUCUCCACUAGCAGUUAAGGCAAAUACUGUGAGGUACCUAAGUGGUUUCUGUUCCCUAGCAAUUACAAAUACUACUGUUCCUUUUUUUCAAAAUGCCUUUCUUUGAAAAUUUUGCAAUACUUACUUAAGAACCAUGUUUUCGUAAAAUAUUCCACCAGUGAAUUUUGGUACUGCUGGUAAACACAAACAUGGGGUUUUAGGGAAAAAAGUAUUUCUUCAAACACCAAGAAAUAGCCAUUGCAUCCCUCAUUUUUCCAGACAUUAUGUAUUUUUCCUUUCACUAAAGUUGACCUCAUCCAGCUCUGCACUGCAGUUACCUGGGAUAACUUUAGAGCUGCCUACACUCAAUUCUGGGUGUCUCCAGCUUUCAGGUUGGCAGAGGUGAAUAUGACUCAGCUACUUCCUGGACAGUAUAUUUUUGCUCCUUGCAAAAUAAAUAAUGCAGUAACCAUAUUAAUUCCUAUAAUUUCUUCAUUUAAGCUUUUUAUGUUCCAGUAUGUGUUUUGUAUCACAUAUUUUAUUUAUAUAUUUAUUCAAAUGGAAAGAAAGACAAUUGAGGAAAAAAAGAAUUCCCUUUUAUAGUAGCUGAACAAAGUAAAAUUACAAUAGCAUACAUGGGUAGAAUAAAAAGUACAUUCAUUUUUUAUUUUGAUUAGUAGACCAUUUGCAAGAAGAAAUAAUUUAUUAGGGUAAAAGCUAUAUCAGGUAAAAGAUCUUUCUUGGUUAAAAUUUUCUCCUGUUUUCAGACAAAAUAGUUUUCAAAGUGGAAACCUCAUCAUGUCGCUUUCUACAAAAUAUCUGAGCCAAGGGAAGGACUUUACAUAGAGUCUCCAAAUUCUUUUUCACUUUAGAAAAGACCUUUACCAUUGAUUUGAUACUCUCUUUAUGGAUGAAAACCUUAUUCAAGAAUGAGAAAUGUUUCCACUGAAAUCACUUAUCAAAUAAUAAGCCAUUAGUGUGUUUUCUUUCUGGAAGGGAUGAUGCCAAGUAAAUUACUUUCAUUAUAGGUCAAAUAUCACCAGUACCUAAGAGCCUUGGACAUAGUUUUUAAAUGCUUUGAUGGAUCUAUAUCAAUGCAUUUUCUACCACUGAGGACUUCUGAGAUCUCAGCUUAUCAAAAGAUAUUUAUUCAGCUCAGCUUGUCCAUUCAGCUCCAGUUCAGCUUCUUCUUCACAGGAGAACUUCACUGAACAGUCAAAGGACAUGGGAACAAAGAGAAGGGUUUUGUUUGUUUGCUUAUAAUUUUCCUUUGUGAGAUCCCCCAGGAGCAGGAAAGAAAAUAUUUCACAGUCUGGUAAGAUCAGAACAGCAAAAGUAUUUGCAGUAUGGCACACAAGAAAGCACUGCCUGCUUGGAAAUACUGCACUUCCAGCCAGCACCAUCCUGUGAGACUCACAGAUGAGCUCCAUAUCCUGCUGCAGACUUGCUCCGGGAGCUAAGAUUCCACUCACCUCUGGAGACUAUUGCUCCCUAGAGAGGCUUAAGAUCUGACCCACUACAGAAUAUCUAGUUAUUUUUCUAAUUUUUUCCUCUAUGAAUGGGUAGCUUUUAAAAUAGUACUUUAAAAUUUGGGUUGGUUUUCAUUCCCACUGGCAAUGCUCGUAUCCAACUAAAUUUUAUUUAUUUUACAAGUCUGUUUUCUUUAAUCUUGUCAUGGAAGAGACCACUAAUUCUCUCCUUCUGGAUGGCUGCAAUGAGACCACACACUCUCCACUCCGAGCAUCAGCAGACUGGAAAGAGAUGAAAAGACAUAAGAAGAACAAAAUACCAUUAGAAAUCCAAUGCUGUUUCCAUCUGAAUUGUUCUCUCAUGGUUCCUCACCAAGUUCCUCACCAGAAAUCUUUGGUCUCUGUGGACUGUCUAUUAUUUUUUUUUUUUUUU